rnacentral:rRNA from 1 species
UAUGUGAUCGUCUCUCGCAUAUCAAUAAGCGGAGGAAAAGAAACUAACAAGGAUUCCCCUAGUAACGGCGGGUGAAGCGGGAAGAGCUCAAAUUUGAAAUCUUAAAGGGUUUCCCUUUACGAAUUGUAGUUUAAAGAAGUGUUUUCUGUUGAGGUUUUGGUAAAAGUUCUUUGGAAUAGGACAUCAUAGAGGGUGAGAAUCCCGUAUUUGACCUUUACUUUCAACUUUGUGAUACACUUUCAAAGAGUCGGAUUGUUUGGGAAUGCAGUCCAAAAUGGGUGGUAAAUUUCAUCUAAAGCUAAAUAUUGGCGAGAGACCGAUAGCGAACAAGUACCGUGAGGGAAAGAUGAAAAGAACUUUGAAAAGAGAGUUAAACAGUACGUGAAAUUGUCAAAAGGGAAGCGUUUGACACCAGUGUUAUUUUUCUGAAAAUCAAUUAAAGAACUGUUUAUGCUAAGUUGUUUAGACUUUAUCAGCUAACUGUUUAGUUUUGAGCUUUUCUUUAAUGCACUUUUCAGUUAACAAGUCAACAUCAAUUUCUUUUGCUGUAAAAAAGCUUGAGGAAGGUGGCUUGAGAUUCGUCUUAAGUGUUUAUAGCCUCUUGCCUAUGCAGUCGGAGAGAUUGAGGUCUGCAGCGUAGAUCCUUCGGGGCUAAAUACAUUUGUGCUAAGUUAUAGCAUUUUAUAGACAACUUGUUGACUAUGAUUUGUCUUGUAGCUUACUCGCUUAUGUUAUUUUACCUACGCUUAGGAUGUUGACUGAUAUGUAGUCGU